rnacentral:rRNA from 1 species
AUGCAUUGCAAGGCGAGGUUCGCGACGGCAUGUGCGCCUUUCUUAGGAUACUGGCCUCCCAGCUUCGUGUCCAUGACACGGUACAGCCUGCGCUUGUCACGCAGGUGCGGUUUGGCCCAGUCCACUAGGUUCUGCUCUAUGCCUGGCUUUGACUUGUCCAGGGCUCGUCUCCCGGUCAGCAACUCAAGCAACACCACCCCGAAGCUGUAG